GGAUUCGAAGUGGGACAAUCAGGGAGAAAGCCGUCCGACAGUGACGCGGCCCUGGCCGCCCAUUUGACCCUUGCCACCGCUAUCGCGGGACUGAAAAUCCUGGUGUCGCCGGUUCGAUCCCGGCUCUGUCCA
rnacentral:tRNA from 1 species